AACGAACGCUGGCGGCAGGCUUAACACAUGCAAGUCGAACGCCCGUAGCGAUACGGGAGUGGCGGACGGGUGAGUAACGCGUGGGAACGUGCCCUCUGGUUCGGAACAACCCCGGGAAACUGGGGCUAAGACCGGAUACGCCCUUUUGGGGAAAGGCUUUGGUUGCCGGAGGAGCGGCCCGCGUCCGAUUAGCUAGUUGGGGAGGUAACGGCUCACCAAGGCAUCGAUCGGUAGCUGGUCUGAGAGGAUGGCCAGCCACAUUGGGACUGAGACACGGCCCAAACUCCUACGGGAGGCAGCAGUGGGGAAUAUUGGACAAUGGGCGCAAGCCUGAUCCAGCCAUGCCGCGUGAGUGAUGACGGCCUUAGGGUUGUAAAGCUCUUUCGCCCACGACGAUAGUGACGGUAGUGGGAGAAGAAGCCCCGGCUAACUUCGUGCCAGCAGCCGCCGUAACAC
rnacentral:rRNA from 1 species